CCUACGGGAGGCAGCAGUGGGGAAUAUUGCACAAUGGGCGAAAGCCUGAUGCAGCGACGCCGCGUGAGGGAUGACGGCCUUCGGGUUGUAAACCUCUUUCAGCAGGGAAGAAGCGAAAGUGACGGUACCUGCAGAAGAAGCACCGGCUAACUACGUGCCAGCAGCCGCGGUAAUACGUAGGGUGCGAGCGUUGUCCGGAAUUAUUGGGCGUAAAGAGCUUGUAGGCGGUUUGUCGCGUCUGCUGUGAAAAUCCGGGACUCAAUUCCGGACUUGCAGUGGGUACGGGCAGACUAGAGUACGGUAGGGGAGACUGGAAUUCCUGGUGUAGCGGUGAAAUGCGCAGAUAUCAGGAGGAACACCGAUGGCGAAGGCAGGUCUCUGGGCCGUAACUGACGCUGAGAAGCGAAAGCAUGGGGAGCGAACAGGAUUAGAUACCCUGGUAGUCCAUGCCGUAAACGUUGGGCGCUAGGUGUGGGGCUCAUUCCACGAGCUCUGUGCCGCAGCUAACGCAUUAAGCGCCCCGCCUGGGGAGUACGGCCGCAAGGCUAAAACUCAAAGGAAUUGACGG
rnacentral:rRNA from 1 species